rnacentral:rRNA from 1 species
AGUCGAACGGUGAUGUCAGAGCUUGCUCUGGCGGAUCAGUGGCGAACGGGUGAGUAACACGUGAGUAACCUGCCCCCGACUCUGGGAUAACUGCUAGAAAUGGUAGCUAAUACCGGAUAUGACGAUUGGCCGCAUGGUCUGGUCGUGGAAAGAAUUUCGGUUGGGGAUGGACUCGCGGCCUAUCAGGUUGUUGGUGAGGUAAUGGCUCACCAAGCCUACGACGGGUAGCCGGCCUGAGAGGGUGACCGGCCACACUGGGACUGAGACACGGCCCAGACUCCUACGGGAGGCAGCAGUGGGGAAUAUUGCACAAUGGGCGAAAGCCUGAUGCAGCAACGCCGCGUGAGGGAUGACGGCCUUCGGGUUGUAAACCUCUUUUAGUAGGGAAGAAGCGAAAGUGACGGUACCUGCAGAAAAAGCACCGGCUAACUACGUGCCAGCAGCCGCGGUAAUACGUAGGGUGCAAGCGUUGUCCGGGAAUUAUUGGGCGUAAAGAGCUCGUAGGCGGUUUGUCGCGUCUGCUGUGAAAUCCCGAGGCUCAACCUCGGGUCUGCAGUGGGUACGGGCAGACUAGAGUGCGGUAGGGGAGAUUGGAAUUCCUGGUGUAGCGGUGGAAUGCGCAGAUAUCAGGAGGAACACCGAUGGCGAAGGCAGAUCUCUGGGCCGUAACUGACGCUGAGGAGCGAAAGCAUGGGGAGCGAACAGGAUUAGAUACCCUGGUAGUCCAUGCCGUAAACGUUGGGAACUAGAUGUGGGGACCAUUCCACGGUCUCCGUGUCGCAGCUAACGCAUUAAGUUCCCCGCCUGGGGAGUACGGCCGCAAGGCUAAAACUCAAAGGAAUUGACGGGGGCCCGCACAAGCGGCGGAGCAUGCGGAUUAAUUCGAUGCAACGCGAAGAACCUUACCAAGGCUUGACAUAUACCGGAAACAUGCAGAAAUGUGUGCCCCGCAAGGUCGGUAUACAGGUGGUGCAUGGUUGUCGUCAGCUCGUGUCGUGAGAUGUUGGGUUAAGUCCCGCAACGAGCGCAACCCUCGUUCUAUGUUGCCAGCACGUAAUGGUGGGAACUCAUAGGAGACUGCCGGGGUCAACUCGGAGGAAGGUGGGGAUGACGUCAAAUCAUCAUGCCCCUUAUGUCUUGGGCUUCACGCAUGCUACAAUGGCCGGUACAAAGGGCUGCGAUACCGUAAGGUGGAGCGAAUCCCAAAAAGCCGGUCUCAGUUCGGAUUGAGGUCUGCAACUCGACCUCAUGAAGUCGGAGUCGCUAGUAAUCGCAGAUCAGCAACGCUGCGGUGAAUACGUUCCCGGGCCUUGUACACACCGCCCGUCAAGUCAUGAAAGUCGGUAACACCCGAAGCCAGUGGCCUAACCGCAAGGGAGGAGCUUCGAAGGUGG